UACGUAGGGGGCAAGCGUUGUCCGGAAUCAUUGGGCGUAAAGAGCGUGUAGGCGGCUCGGUAAGUCCGCUGUAAAAGUCCAGGGCUCAACCCUGGAAAGCCGGUGGAAACUGUCGAGCUAGAGUCCGGAAGAGGCGAGUGGAAUUCCUGGUGUAGCGGUGAAAUGCGCAGAUAUCAGGAGGAACACCGGUGGCGAAGGCGGUUCUCUGGGCCUUACCUGACACUGAGGAGCGAAAGCGUGGGGAGCGAACAGG
rnacentral:rRNA from 1 species